rnacentral:rRNA from 1 species
GUGAGCUGGGUUUAGACCGUCGUGAGACAGGUCGGAUUCUACCUGUUGGGGGUGCUGGCUGCCUGAGGGUAGGGGGCCCUCGGUACGAGAGGAACGGGGCGUCGCGGCCUCUAGUUUACCGGUUGUCCGGUAGGGCAUUGCCGGGCAGCCACGCCGUAACCGAUAAGGGCUGAAAGCAUCUAAGCCCGAAGCGGGACCCGAAAAUAGGCAGCCAUUCCCCAGCGAUCCCCUUUAUGGGGGCCGGGGCAGGCGACUGCAACGGUUGCUGGGGACGAGGACUCCCGUAGAAGACGGGGUUGAUGGGGUCGGGGUGUAAGCGUCAAGGUCUUUUGACCGAGGCGUUCAGCCCGCGACUCCCAACCGUCCGAGCGUGCGGGUCC